rnacentral:rRNA from 1 species
GAUGAACGCUGGCGGCGUGCUUAACACAUGCAAGUCGAACGAAGCACUUUAUUUGAUUUCCUUCGGGACUGAUUAUUUUGUGACUGAGUGGCGUACGGGUGAGUAACGCGUGGGUAACCUGCCUUGUACAGGGGGAUAACAGUUGGAAACGGCUGCUAAUACCGCAUAAGCGCACAGCAUCGCAUGAUGCAGUGUGAAAAACUCCGGUGGUAUAAGAUGGACCCGCGUUGGAUUAGCUAGUUGGUGAGGUAACGGCCCACCAAGGCGACGAUCCAUAGCCGACCUGAGAGGGUGACCGGCCACAUUGGGACUGAGACACGGCCCAAACUCCUACGGGAGGCAGCAGUGGGGAAUAUUGCACAAUGGGCGAAAGCCUGAUGCAGCGACGCCGCGUGAGCGAAGAAGUAUUUCGGUAUGUAAAGCUCUAUCAGCAGGGAAGAUAAUGACGGUACCUGACUAAGAAGCACCGGCUAAAUACGUG